GAUGAACGCUGGCGGUGUGCCUAAUACAUGCAAGUCGAGCGAAUGACGAGGAGCUUGCUCCUCUGAUUUAGCGGCGGACGGGUGAGUAACACGUGGGUAACCUGCCUGUAAGACGGGGAUAACUCCGGGAAACCGGAGCUAAUACCUGAUGAUAACGAGAAGCGCCUGCUUCUGUUUUGAAAGUCGGUUUCGGCUGACGCUUACAGUUGGCCCCGCGGCGCAUUAGCUAGUUGGUGAGGUAACGGCUCACAAAGGCGACGAGGCGUAGCCGACCUGGGAGGGUGAUCGGCCACACUGGGACUGAGACACGGCCAAGACUCCUACGGGAGGCAGCAGUAGGGAAUCUUCGGCAAUGGACGAAAGUCUGACCGAGCAACGCCGCGUGAGCGAUGAAGGCCUUCGGGUCGUAAAGCUCUGUUGUCAGAGAAGAACAAGUACCGGAGUAACUGCCGGUACCUUGACGGUACCUGACCAGAAAGCCACGGCUAACUACGUGCCAGCCGCCGCAGUAACAC
rnacentral:rRNA from 1 species